rnacentral:lncRNA from 1 species
CUUUGUUUAAUUUUAUUUAACAGGAAAUAGCUUAUCAUCAAUUUUAGGUGGUCCGGUGACAUGUAGUCAUCGCAAGUCAUCAUGUUUAGAACAAAAGGCAGCCUUAACAAUGGGUGCGAGGUAGGCUGUCAGUCUUAAUUGGAAAAUUUUGACAUGAUACGGAAGUUAACUAAGGUAAAGCAUUUCACUAGCUAGCAUUGCACACCAGCUAGCUUAAAUCAAGGACGCGGGGGCAUGAUCAAGGACACGGUCCAUGUCGGGUGGAUCCCAAUCAU